GGAAUUCUGAUAUAAUAGUAAUACAAUGACAACUAGAAUCGAGAUAUUAUGAUUUGUAUACAAUUUGCCCCCAAACCGAGCAAGCAAUCCCCAAGUAGUGAGAUAAGAAUUAAGGUCGCUCAUAAACAAAAGGAUUCUUCCUACCUGCCUGACAAUUGUGACAAAACAAGAGAUAUUUGUGUAUAUAAACAGGAAUUAACAAAGACACCGGCCUCUCCAAAUUCUGUAUUUAUUACUAUUUCUUCUGUACACCUCUUGUGCCAACACUAACCCUUCAAAACCUGAGAAGAACAUGUCAUCUCCAACUACUAAUUAACAAACCAAAACUGAACUUCAGCCUUGUGUAUGAAGACAACAUGAUAUGCAUUGUAAUUAACUCAACAGCCCUAUAACUUAUCUGCAAUUCUUCCCAAAGCAUCUGCAAGCUUCGUAAGUACUGCUACUAAGUUAUCAACAUGGUCCUUCCUUUGCUCCCUAUCCUGUUCAAACUGCAUAUUCUGAGCUUCAAGUUGGGAGCUCACCAGUUUCCCAUUCCUCUCCAAUGCUCUCACUAAAUGAUGUUGCACACUCCUUGCUUCUUCAUCAUCUGCAUCUGACUCGCUUUUCUUUCUUUUCCUUCCUUCAUGACCACUUCCUAUAUCAGGUUCUCGGGUGGUAGGUUGGCUUGUACCUGCUUGUGUAGGAGAAACUUGAGAGAGUGGUUGAUGUUGUUGCUCUGAAACUGGAGUAGGAAUAGGAGGGUCAUUGAUUGGUUUAUGAGGAGUUUCAUCAGGCUCAAAAUCAGAAAACAAGGCAUCAUCCCCUGAUGCAGCACUUUUCCCACUAUCAAACAGGACUUGUGAGCCCAAAGCCAAAACCAAGCCUCCUUCUUCAUGGGCAUCGGCAUCUCCACUUCCACGAUCAAGAAUAUCAUAGACUUCUCUAUCGAAAAAUCCAGGUAAUUUUUUGUCUCUUCUCAAAUCAUUCCUCAUGACCCAAAAGGAGUCGGUUUCUUCUUUUAUCUGAGACUCCCACUCUUUAAUCUUCUUAAAAUCUCCAGCCAAAUUACUCCAUCUCUUUCGGCAUUGAACUGGUCCACGGUUAACCCCAUGUCUUUUACAGUAGGAAGAAACAGAAGCCCACUUGGGUUCAACCUGUGGUGAACCUAAUUCAACAACGCCAGUUCGUCCUCGACGGAUCCGGUUUUCAGUAACCUUUUUCCCCUGUAUCAGUACAAGAAUUUCUUGUCUAGUCCAACGAGGAAGCCUAGGAACUUUGUUAGAAUCAUCGGCGCCGUUGAGACGGCCGUCGGAGUCGGUAGACGGAAUUAGGGUCAAUCGCUCAAGCUUCAUACUACUUUUUGAACCACGUCAGUUAACGGAAUUACGACAAACGCCGUUUUUGAGUAGGACGGCCCGUUGAGGGGAAGAGAAACAGAGUGUUUU
rnacentral:misc_RNA from 1 species